rnacentral:lncRNA from 1 species
UCUAUUUUCUAGUAUAUAUAAAGCAUACGACAUGGGAUAUACUUUUACUUGACAUCAAUUCAUGAAGCAUAAUACCUUAGUUUUCACAUGUAUGGCGAUCACAUAAAUUUAAAUAUCCUAUAAAUACGUUUGCAUGUCCUAAGCAAUAGGGGGAAAGCAUUUGAACUAGCUUGCAUGUCUAUAUUAUGUCAUUCUAUGCGUGUAGACUAUCACGUGGCAAUCACACCACCACUUUUGCAUGAUGAAUUGUGCAUAUUGAAUGAUAGGGCUCAAACAUAUUCAAUGGAUCUUUGACACAUUUGAUUAGAAUUAAUCUUAGUGCAUGUUUGAUAUGACUUAUUUAAUGACCAUAAGUGUUUAUUUAAUUCCAUAAGCUCUUAUCAUAUUUUUUGUUGUUAUUGGGUGAUUUUUCUAAUAGAGCUUUUGAAUUUUAAAUAAACUAUUUUGCCCCUACUAGUAAAAGCUCAAAUUUUGGGUUUUUGGGAGUAGA